rnacentral:rRNA from 1 species
UACGUAGGGCGCAAGCGUUGUCCGGAAUUAUUGGGCGUAAAGAGCUCGUAGGCGGCUUGUCACGUCGGAUGUGAAAGCCCGGGGCUUAACCCCGGGUCUGCAUUCGAUACGGGCUAGCUAGAGUGUGGUAGGGGAGAUCGAAUUCCUGGUGUAGCGGUGAAAUGCGCAGAUAUCAGGAGGAACACCGGUGGCGAAGGCGGAUCUCUGGGCCAUUACUGACGCUGAGGAGCGAAAGCGUGGGGAGCAAACAGG